rnacentral:rRNA from 1 species
CCGCGUGUGUGAAGAAGGUCUUCGGAUUGUAAAGCACUUUAAGUUGGGAGGAAGGGCAUUAACCUAAUACGUUAGUGUUUUGACGUUACCGACAGAAUAAGCACCGGCUAACUCUGUGCCAGCAGCCGCGGUAAUACAGAGGGUGCAAGCGUUAAUCGGAAUUACUGGGCGUAAAGCGCGCGUAGGUGGUUCGUUAAGUUGGAUGUGAAAUCCCCGGGCUCAACCUGGGAACUGCAUUCAAAACUGUCNNGCUAGAGUAUGGUAGAGGGUGGUGGAAUUUCCUGUGUAGC